rnacentral:lncRNA from 1 species
UGCUUGGUGGGCUGGUGCCUGGAGCCGGCCCUGCACGUAAGGCAGCAUGUAGAGUAUAGACACUGCAUGCCCAGCUAGAACAGGCAUAAACAUCAGUGUAGAUGGUGAGGCACUGCUUAAGCUAGUAGCGAAAGACCAGCACCCACACCCUACAUGGCUGUCUACAUGCCUAAGGAGUGCCUCCCACCUCUACAUUAUUUUUAGCAACAUAGUGUCCUACUGCCUCCCUGCUGCCAGAGCCCUUCCCCACUGCAAUGAAAUGCUCCAGCAAUGGAAAAAAGGCUCUGGCAAGUGGGAGGCAGUGGGAAAAGGCCAGCAGCUCCCUAGUGCUGAGCCUUUUCCUCACUGCCUUCUCCCUGCCAGAGCCUUUCACUGCUGCAUGCAGAUACACACUGCAGGGUGGGCACAGCCUGCCUUUCAUUGUCGUGUGUAUCUACACGUACCCUACAAGUUGCUGCAAGUGGCUGAUAAGACCAUUAUAUUGCAUGGUUAGACAUAUUCACAAGCAACAAACCGAAUAAUUAUGCUCUGGUGGCCAGAAACAGCACUAAAAAACGUUGUAAAAAUUUGGUGACCAUGACCCAGCGAUCAAAAAAUAACUUUCUCCUAUUGGGCAAGAAUAAGAAACAACUGUGUCUGAAGGUAAGAAGUAGUAUAUUUGCCCUUCAUCUUUUCAUCAAACUGUCUUUGCCUUUCUUCAUCCUUUUUC